rnacentral:tRNA from 1 species
GCCGAAGUGAUGGAAUUGGUAGACGUAGCGGAUUCAAAAUCCGCCGAUAGCAAUAUCGUGUGGGUUCGAUUCCCACCUUCGGCACCA